UUUUGGUUACGUUUAACCGGGAAAAAAUGCAUUGGCCGGGUUGAUAAAUUGUUGGGUUUUUUUAUGAUGCAACUGGCAGGUUUUUAUUUUUGAUUAUAAAUAUGAUAUUUGAUUAAUUGUCCAUUCAAACGAAUUUCACAAUGACGUAUAAUAUGUAGUGUUGACGUUUUAAUUCUAUGGGUCAGUUUAGCAGAAUUGGCAGGUUGUUGUAAUCGUUGUACUCGUUAAGCCAAUAUCACAAAGUUAUUAGCAAAGCUGUAAGUGUUUUUUUUAUCAUCAUCAUGCUAAAGUGGGGUUAAUAUAGAAAGUCCUGCAGAAAAGUUCUGCGAAGAUUCUCUGCAUUAAGUCCCUAUAAAAAGCGCAGCAGCAGUGCAGUAGCAACGGAGGACCCGAGCCAGACCACAGAAAAGGACCUCUCCCACUUCGCCGCCACUGGUCUUCAAGAUGUCCACACAGAACUGCUGCGGCCGCCUUCGUGAGGAACUCGCUGUGAUCCUCCGAGAUUCCAUCUUCCGGCACAUCCGUGCAACCUCAGCUAAAUGUAAGGUGGUGUGCACUUGCAGUUUUCCUGAUGCUCAUGUCCUGUGUGUUGCUGUGCAGGUACCUGCGAUCCUGAACGAGAACAUCGGAGCUGUUGUCCACCAUGCUGGCAUGAAAGACACCAGGCUGAAGCAGAUGAAGAUCAUGAAGAGGGACUUCAGGAACCUGAUUGAGAUGGAGGAUCAUCGUGUCAGGACUGUUUCCCACCUACCAACAAGGAAUUGAGAGGUCCGAUCCCCAGUCAGAGCUUCUGGCCAUCCCUAGCCUGCCCUGAUCCUUUGAUGGCAUCAUCACUGCUCCCCCUAUUUGAAGAAGAAGGAAACUGAGGAGGAGGGUGGUAGAAAUGGCAUGUUUGGAGUGUUUUUAGCAGAUCUGUUGUGCUUGUGAUUGUUGUGUAGAGUUCUCUGUUCUGGUUUUAACUUCUGCUUGAGUUUCUUUGUCUAAGCUUGUCUUUCCUUUUUGGACUUGUUAGCGGUUAUCAUUCUCUGUGUAUAUAUAUUGAUCACUGUACAUAUUGUUUGCUUAGUUCACCGGCAGUAGGGCUGUGGGUGGCAUUUUCUUUGCGAUCGGGGUCGUUUUCCUCUGUUUAUGCAUAGAGAGUUAGGUAAGCUCCAUUGUAUCCACUUUUUUUUGCUGAUUUUAUUUCAGGUAAGGAAGUUUCUAAAACUCUUUGAUUUAUUAUUUUGGCCUUGCCCCACCCAGAAGAGAUGCUUUUGUUGAUUUGUAUGUAUAUUUGCUCACUUAUUCACAAUAUACCAACAAUAUCUUAAAAUAAACAUUUUAAUUCUAAUACCUU